GGGGUUGACCGGUUUUGACAGCUUGCAGGAUGGUUAUGUAAGCAUACCGAGCCAUGCGGUGACGCUCGUGAAUCUUGACCGCGGAAAAUUAAUUGGCGAAAACAACUACGCUCUCGCUGCUUAACCGAAGCACAGUAGGUUGAAGCUCAAUCCCCACACAAGGUGAGGGGACGAGACAUCUCGCGGAUGGAGGCUCCUGAUUCCGGUCCGGCAACGAGGUGCUCAUCAAUUUCGGGAUAGCGACGCGGAAGCCCCGGCAACGUCGCGAAACUCAAGGGGAUAAGGGCCGGCUUAGGGCGUUCGCUCCCUUGCCCGCCACGAAAAACAACAGCGGAAUAAGUAUGUAGAAAGCAUAAUUGUUCCAAGUUUGGACGAGGGUUCGACUCCCUCCAGCUCCACCA
rnacentral:tmRNA from 1 species